rnacentral:tRNA from 1 species
GCAUGGUAGCUGAAUGGGUAAAGCGCUUAGAGCUAUUUACUCGAUACCGAAGGUUGAUGGUUCGAUUCCAUCCUGGAGCA